CCUACGGGAGGCAGCAGUGAGGAAUAUUGGUCAAUGGCCGUAAGGCUGAACCAGCCAAGUCGCGUGAAGGAAGAAGGAUCUAUGGUUUGUAAACUUCUUUUAUAGGGGAAUAAAGGUAUCCACGUGUGGAUAUUUGCAUGUACCCUAUGAAUAAGCAUCGGCUAACUCCGUGCCAGCAGCCGCGGUAAUACGGAGGAUGCGAGCGUUAUCCGGAUUUAUUGGGUUUAAAGGGUGCGUAGGUUGUUGUUUAAGUCAGCGGUGAAAGUUUGGGGCUCAACCAUAAAAUUGCCGUUGAAACUGGAAGUCGUGAGUGUGUUAGAGGUAGGCGGAAUGCGUGGGGUAGCGGUGAAAUGCAGAGAUAUCACGAAGAACUCCGAUUGCGAAGGCAGCUUACGAGGCCAUAACUGACAUGGAAGCACGAAAGCGUGGGGAGCAAACAGGAUUAGAUACCCGAGUAGUC
rnacentral:rRNA from 1 species